GACGAACGCUGGCGGCGUGCUUAACACAUGCAAGUCGAACGGAAAGGCCCUGCUUUUGUGGGGUGCUCGAGUGGCGAACGGGUGAGUAACACGUGAGUAACCUGCCCUUGACUUUGGGAUAACUUCAGGAAACUGGGGCUAAUACCGGCUAGGAGCUCCUGCUGCAUGGUGGGGGUUGGAAAGUUUCGGCGGUUGGGGAUGGACUCGCGGCUUAUCAGCUUGUUGGUGGGGUAGUGGCUUACCAAGGCUUUGACGGGUAGCCGGCCUGGGAGGGUGACCGGCCACAUUGGGACUGAGAUACGGCCCGGACUCCUACGGGAGGCAGCAGUGGGGAAUAUUGCACAAUGGGCGGAAGCCUGAUGCAGCAACGCCGCGUGCGGGAUGACGGCCUUCGGGUUGGAAACCGCUUUCGCCUGUGACGAAGCGUGAGUGACGGUAAUGGGUAAAGAAGCACCGGCUAACUACGUG
rnacentral:rRNA from 1 species